rnacentral:tRNA from 1 species
GCGGGAGUGGCGGAAUGGCAGACGCAGCAGGUUUAGGUCCUGCCGCCCUAGGGCGUGGGGGUUCAAAUCCCCCCUCCCGCA